UCGGGUAUGGUGUAACGGCUAACAUUGCCGCCUCUCAUGCAUGUGCCUCGUGUCACGAUCGCGGCAGCUCGGGGUUCGAUUCCCCGUACCCGAA